GAGAUUCUGCAGUUGUUGCUCUAGGAGCUGAAACCAGUGGGUAGAUGUCGUUCUGAAACGCAGUCAACCAAUAUUGCCUGUCAUGGAACAGCUGUGCCCUCCUGUCAGGAGGGAAAGAUGAGUGAGACCCAUCCUCACCCUCACAGAGAUGCAGUCUGGUGGUCUCUGGAAGAAGGAAGUUGUGAAACUUACCGAUUCCUUGGGAAAACAGGCAGGUACACAGGGACUGGCCUGUGCAGUGGGUGGGGUGGUCUCUCAGCUGUGCCAGUUCAUAGAGGAACCGAAAUCUAGUUAGGAGUGAACAGAAACUGCGUAACAGAAGAUGGGCUCUGCUCUGCAUCUUGGAAAUUGCCAAAGAUUUGUAAUGGUAAGGUGAAGACUGGUCUUGCGGAGGGAGGGGGAAUAAUGGUAUUAGCAGAGGCUUCAAGCUGAGUAUAAACAUGGUGUGUUUGGGUGUUGAGCAUGGUUUGCCUGGGAUGGAGAAUUGUUACUGGGGGCUUGGGGGUGAUGCAUUUUGAUACCCAGGCCUGGAUCAAAUUAUGGAAGGCACCAAACGGCAGCCUAAAGAGUCUGGAUUUUGUUUGACAAUGGGGAGCUACUGAAGGGCUUUCUGUACCAUAAAGAUAAGUUAAAAGUGUGAGUUAGAAAGAUUGGAGUACGGAGCCUGGUUAGAAAAGUAGUGCUGCAAUAUUCAUGGUGUGAAGAGAUGAAAGCCUGAACUUUGGUGGUGCUAUGCAGGUAGAGAAGAGGAGACAGGUGUGAGACUGUGAAGAGAGCACCUGAUCAGAGGGUGUGCUGUUGGGCUAGAUUUAGAGGUGGGGAGAGAGAAUGCGAGAGCUCUGAGGCAUGAGUAAUUAGAUGCUGGAACACUUUCCCUUUCCCUUCUGCUUCCCUAUUUUCCCUCUAUUUAUUAUCUAUUUUGAUGUUUAUUCCUGUGUUGUUGUGCAUGCAAGGAAGGUGUAGGCAGCAGCUAAUGUGGCCCCAAAGGUCUGUACCUCCUGGUGUUCAUGCCCUUGUGUAAUCCUCUUUUCUUUAGUGUGGGCUAGACUUAGUCACUUGCUGAUAACAAAGAGAAUAUAGCAAAAGUGGUGGGAUGUCAUUUCUGAGGUUAGGGUACAAAACUGCUGUCACUUCUGUUGCUCUCACUCUCUCUUGCAUGCCCUGUCUUGCUCUAAGGGAAGCCCACUUCCAUGUUGUAAGCUGCCUUAUGGAGAGGACUGUGUGGCAGGUAACUGAGGGAGGCCUCUGGUCAUCAGCCAGUGGGGAACUGAGGCCCUCAAUACAACAGCCAGUGAGGAGCUUAAUCCUGCUAGUAGCCAUGUGAGUGGGCCACUUGCUGGGAGUCAGUGACUUGAGCUUCCAGAAUGCUGUCUCCUCUUCUGGGAGCUACUGUAAACCACUCAAAAAAAUCAAAGGUGGCUUAUCAUCAGAAGUCAGGACACCUCAGUUAUAGUGAAGCAAAUCAGUGGUUCCAUAUUUUAACAUGAGCUUACUUUCCCAGCAGAGUCUGUCAAGUGGAGGUUACUACACAGGACCUUGAAGAGAGUCUGACAGCCCAAAUAUUAUUUCCUUCUAUUUGGGAUGAUUUUACUCCACAGUACGGUAAAUUGUGGGCUAGAAUCUAAAAGUGAUUUAGCAUCUCUACAAAAGAAGACUUCACAGGCAUUGCCACAUUUAAUUGAUAACAGAGUAUGUCUACAUUGUUGCAGUUAGUUAUGGAGUAUAAUUGUAGAGUUGCUUUACUCUAAGCCUUCUCCAGUCUCUCCAUUGACUAUAGACAUAAUAAUACUGACUUGUUGAAACUAUAACCCAUCUAUGACUGUGUUGGAUAACAUGACUGUCAAUCAAAUUGCAUAACUGAGAGGCAGAGAAUAAAGAAAGCAUCGCUCAUCAAACUACUAGACAUUUACACUUGACUUUGGAUGAAAAUUGAGGUC
rnacentral:lncRNA from 1 species